CACACAAGAGCUACAACCUUAUCAGCAGCAAAGUUGCUUCUAGCCAUUGCAGCAAUAUUUCCGUUAGUCUCCUCCCAAAACCCCCUUUCUUCAUCAUCGCUGGGAUCUAUGUGGAUCACCUGCACUCAAUUGGACCGAACUUCGAGUAAACGGGUUUGAUGAUAGGAAUAAAAGGAAAGCGAGAAGGCUUACAUCCAACCAGGACUACUUGUCUGUGGGAAGACACAGAGUGCAUAUCUGCAGCACAACACAUCAAUGGAACAGCCAUUGCUGUAUCUUUCAACCUCUUCUCAAAAACAGCCUGUAGUGACAUAGAUCACGCAAGGACAAGAGUAAGCAAGAGAGACGAGAUUCCGAGCAUGUUCAGCUAAGCUUAUAAAAAGUUUUCCUUCGCAA